GGAAAAAGAAAAGAAGCGGAGGAUACAAUAUUAUAUAUAAACAAUGGAAUUCCAUUGUUUAUAUAUAAUAUUGUAUUCUCCGCUUCUUUUCUUUUUCCAUU